rnacentral:lncRNA from 1 species
CCUCCACCUCCGCCUCCGCUGCUUUCUUCGGCGAGAGAGAAAAAAAAUGAACGAGAGAAAAGAAGAGGAGAGAGAAAGAGGAGAGAGAAAAAGUAAUAAGGGUAUUUUGGUCAGUUUUCUAAAAAUUUAGACUGAAUCUGCAAAAUCAAAAGUUUUGUAAAAGCUCAAAAUUUAUGAAUUUUUUAUGCAAAUUGGCCAAAAAAGAAACUGAGAGAUUUUGUUGUUAAGAAAGCUGAGAGAAUAUUAAUUAGUAAAAAUAUAUAUGUAUUGGAGGUGGUGGGCGUAUUUCAAAAUUGCCAGCAGAUAAAGAAGUCUUCAU